rnacentral:rRNA from 1 species
CGGAGAGUUUGAUCCCGGCUCAGGAUAAACGCUGGCGGUGUGCCUAAUGCAUGCAAGUCGAACGGUCCUUCGGGACAGUGGCGAACGGGUGAGUAACACGUAAGCAACCUGCCCCUAAGUGGGGGAUAACUUCGGGAAACUGGAGCUAAUACCGCAUGUGGUGGCCCUUCAACAGAAGGGUCAUUAAAGCCUUCGGGCGCUUGGGGAGGGGCUUGCGUCUGAUUAGCUUGUUGGUGAGGUAACGGCCCACCAAGGCAAUGAUCGGUAGCUGGUCUGAGAGGAUGGUCAGCCACACUGGGACUGAGACACGGCCCAGACUCCUACGGGAGGCAGCAGCAAGGAAUAUUGUGCAAUGGGCGAAAGCCUGACACAGCGACACCGCGUGGGGGAAGAAGGUCUUCGGAUUGUAAACCCCUUUUCUCAGGGAAGAAUAAUGACGGUACCUGGGGAAUAAGUCUCGGCUAACUACGUGCCAGCAGCCGCGGUAAUACGUAGGAGGCAAGCGUUAUCCGGAUUUA